UACGUAGGGGGCAAGCGUUGUCCGGAAUCAUUGGGCGUAAAGAGCGUGUAGGCGGCCUGGUAAGUCCGCUGUGAAAGUCCAGGGCUCAACCCCUGGAAUGCCGGUGGAAACUGUCAGGCUCGAGUCCGGAAGAGGCGAGUGGAAUUCCUGGUGUAGCGGUGAAAUGCGCAGAUAUCAGGAGGAACACCAAUGGCGAAGGCAGCUCGCUGGGACGGUACUGACGCUGAGACGCGAAAGCGUGGGGAGCAAACAGG
rnacentral:rRNA from 1 species